UACGAAGGGGGCUAGCGUUGCUCGGAAUCACUGGGCGUAAAGGGUGCGUAGGCGGCUUUGUAAGUCAGAGGUGAAAGCCCGGAGCUUAACUCCGGAAUUGCCUUUGAGACUGCAUCGCUUGAAUCCAGGAGAGGUGAGUGGAAUUCCGAGUGUAGAGGUGAAAUUCGUAGAUAUUCGGAAGAACACCAGUGGCGAAGGCGGCUCACUGGACUGGUAUUGACGCUGAGGUGCGAAAGCGUGGGGAGCAAACAGG
rnacentral:rRNA from 1 species